rnacentral:rRNA from 1 species
AAAUUGAAGAGUUUGAUCAUGGCUCAGAUUGAACGCUGGCGGCAGGCCUAACACAUGCAAGUCGAACGGUAACAGGAAAAAGCUUGCUUUUUUGCUGACGAGUGGCGGACGGGUGAGUAAUGUCUGGGAAACUGCCUGAUGGAGGGGGAUAACUACUGGAAACGGUAGCU